UUUUAUGAGAGUUUGAUCCUGGCUCAGGACGAACGCUGGCGGCGUGCCUAAUACAUGCAAGUCGAACGCUUCUUUUUCCACCGGAGCUUGCUCCACCGGAAAAAGAGGAGUGGCGAACGGGUGAGUAACACGUGGGUAACCUGCCCAUCAGAAGGGGAUAACACUUGGAAACAGGUGCUAAUACCGUAUAACAAUCGAAACCGCAUGGUUUUGAUUUGAAAGGCGCUUUCGGGUGUCGCUGAUGGAUGGACCCGCGGUGCAUUAGCUAGUUGGUGAGGUAACGGCUCACCAAGGCCACGAUGCAUAGCCGACCUGAGAGGGUGAUCGGCCACAUUGGGACUGAGACA
rnacentral:rRNA from 1 species